rnacentral:tRNA from 1 species
UGUUCUGUGGCUUAGUUAGUUAAAACGACGGUCUGGCGAAUAUAGAGUCGUGGGUUCGAAUCUCACCAGAACGU